UGGGGAAUUUUGGACAAUGGGCGAAAGCCUGAUCCAGCAAUGCCGCGUGUGUGAAGAAGGCCUUCGGGUUGUAAAGCACUUUUGUCCGGAAAGAAAAUCCUUGGCUCUAAUACAGUCGGGGGAUGACGGUACCGGAAGAAUAAGCACCGGCUAACUACGUGCCAGCAGCCGCGGUAAUACGUAGGGUGCAAGCGUUAAUCGGAAUUACUGGGCGUAAAGCGUGCGCAGGCGGUUUGCUAAGACCGAUGUGAAAUCCCCGGGCUCAACCUGGGAAACUGCAUUGGUGACUGGCAGGCUAGAGUAUGGCAGAGGGGGGUAGAAUUCCACGUGUAGCAGUGAAAUGCGUAGAGAUGUGGAGGAAUACCGAUGGCGAAGGCAGCCCCCUGGGCCAAUACUGACGCUCAUGCACGAAAAGCGUGGGGAGCAAAACAGGAUUAGAUACCCCUGGUAGUCCACGCCCUAAAACGAUGUCAACUAGUUGUUGGGGGAUUCAUUUCCUUAGUAACGUAGCUAACGCGUGAAGUUGACCGCCUGGGGAGUACGGUCGCAAGAUUAAAACUCAAAUGAAUUG
rnacentral:rRNA from 1 species